UACGUAGGUGACUAGCGUUGUUCGGAUUUAUUGGGCGUAAAGGGUCCGCAGGGGGCCGGCUAAGUCUGAUGUGAAAUCCCGAAGCUUAACUUCGGAACUGCAUUGGAAACUGGCUGGCUAGAGCAUCGGAGAGGAGAGUGGAAUUCCAGGUGUAGCGGUGGAAUGCGUAGAUAUCUGGAAGAACACCAAAGGCGAAGGCAGCUCUCUGGACGAUCGCUGACCCUCAGGGACGAAAGCAUGGGGAG
rnacentral:rRNA from 1 species